rnacentral:ncRNA from 1 species
CAAACGUCGAUGAACGGGAGAGUAGUGAAGGUAAUGAGCAUUUCAGCGAGCCGGAAAAGGUGUGAGCCGGCAUGAUCAUCCUACAUGAAGCGCACCUGAUGAGACGACUAUUCCAAGCGAGAGUUACGAUUUCAUUCUCUUAGUAGAGUAGUCCGGCUGACAGCCGUUAAGUGGUCAACAAGCGGAACAGAUAGCCUAAUUCUAUCUGUUCACUUAGAGUGGUACCGCGGGAAUUGUAGUUCUCGUCUCUUUU